rnacentral:lncRNA from 1 species
GAGGAGUUUAGCCUGAAGGUCAGAAGCUUGGGCCAUUGUCUAUGUGACUACUGACCAUGCUUCCCUUGUGGGGGCUGUGGGGAGCGGUAACUUAGGUAGGGGCCAGAGUUCCAGGAGCAUGAGGGAACACCUACCGUGUCAUAAAGGUGGAUUAUGAUCAUCGGGGUUCAGACCUCAGUUUGACUGGAGACCAGCCUGCAAUUCCCCACACCACAGCUGCCUCCACAGCCUUUUUAACUCACAACCAGAAUUUUGUUGCUCGCUAGGCACGGUCUCUUUUGGAUUAGCAGACAGCAACAUAAAGUUCCCAGACCUUUUAUGACACCAUUCUUCAGGGUCUUCCAGAUUCACAUUUUAAAGGAAACUCUCUAAAGGUAAAGAGACAUGCAAUUGAUCUCUGGAGCUUGGGAGUUGUACUCUACUUUAUGUAGAUAGGGUGCCCCCCCACCCCUUUCCAGGGAAAUGACUAUGAAGAACUAAAGCAGAAAAUCUUGGCAUCAGGUCUGCUGAAGAAGAAACAUUCAGGUUAGAUACCUUUACUUCCCCCUGGGUGGAGGCUAACACCAGGCACUAAGGUGUCCCUGGAACAUACCUGAAGAGAAUGGGCUGAAUUCUCUUUCUUGUAUAGCAGGACUCUCAUGAUGGCCCUCCUUGCUGGAAAAUGGAGGUGAACUAUCCUGGGGUCAUGUUGUCCUUUGAACCAGCACUAGUCAGGUCACAGAGCUGUUUCAUGAGGUUCUCCUGAGGUGCUGUUCAUGAAGUGAGCCUUGUGGACAAGCUGGGAGCAGACUCUACGAAUGAGAGUUGUCAUCUUGUUCAAGCAGUUCUGUGUGGGUGGAAAAUUGUACAUCAUUAUAGUCUUUUUUCUGUUCUUAGGACUUUCAUGUAGAGUGAGCAAAAUGAAUAUAGGAAAGGUAGAGACCCUAGAUCCCCUCCUAAUAACUAUUUAUUGUAUCAUGCUUGGCCCUGUAUAGUCCAAGGUUUGAUCCUACUGCCUGGGCUUAAGUUUUUUUUAUUAAGUUGUCUCCUCAGGGUUACUGUUGUCUAAGCAUAAAAUAUGUAGACAUCACCUGGUCAAAUUUUUACUCCCAUAAACUUUGUUUUGUCUCUUGUUCCUUAAGUCCUAUGACACCCAUGAUGACCAUUACAGUGGGGUCUGGGUGGCUGUCUGUGUUCUUCCUAAAGGAUCUGGGAGAGCCUUCAUUGUCAUGCUUUAGCCAUUAGAUGCUCACAAUAUCAUGUACCAUUGGCCUUUGUCCAGGCUUUACAGGUAGCAACUUAGCAACCAUAUCCCAAAGUUCUGGUGAGAGUUUGAAUUUAAUGGAGUAUUUUCCUGCCAAGAUUUUCUGCUUUAGUUCUUCAUAGUAAUUUCCCUGGAAAGGGGGCACUCUAUCAACAUGAAGUAAAGCACAACCCCCCAAGCUUCAAACAUCAAUUGCACAUCCAUCCUA